UGUGCAGGCGGUUCGGUAAGUUGGGUGUGAAAUCUCCCGGCUCAACUGGGAGAGGUCGCUCAAGACUGUCGGACUGGAGGGCAGGAGAGGGAGGUGGAAUUCCCGGUGUAGUGGUGAAAUGCGUAGAUAUCGGGAGGAACACCAGUGGCGAAAGCGGCCUCCUGGACUGUACCUGACGCUGAGACACGAAAGCUAGGGGAGCGAACG
rnacentral:rRNA from 1 species